GACGAACGCUGGCGGCGUGCUUAACACAUGCAAGUCGAGCGGUAAGGCCCUUUCGGGGGUACACGAGCGGCGAACGGGUGAGUAACACGUGGGUGACCUGCCUUUAGCUCUGGGAUAAGCCUGGGAAACUGGGUCUAAUACCGGAUAUGACUCCGCGGUGCAUGCUGUGGGGUGGAAAGCCUUGUGCGGCUGGAGAUGGGCCCGCGGCCUAUCAGCUUGUUGGUGGGGUGAUGGCCUACCAAGGCGACGACGGGUAGCCGGCCUGAGAGGGCGACCGGCCACACUGGGACUGAGACACGGCCCAGACUCCUACGGGAGGCAGCAGUGGGGAAUCUUGCGCAAUGGGC
rnacentral:rRNA from 1 species